UUGAACGCUGGCGGCAUGCCUUACACAUGCAAGUCGAACGGCAGCACGGAGCUUGCUCUGGUGGCGAGUGGCGAACGGGUGAGUAAUAUAUCGGAACGUACCCUAGAGUGGGGGAUAACGUAGCGAAAGUUACGCUAAUACCGCAUACGAUCUAAGGAUGAAAGUGGGGGAUCGCAAGACCUCAUGCUCGUGGAGCGGCCGAUAUCUGAUUAGCUAGUUGGUAGGGUAAAAGCCUACCAAGGCAUCGAUCAGUAGCUGGUCUGAGAGGACGACCAGCCACACUGGAACUGAGACACGGUCCAGACUCCUACGGGAGGCAGCAGUGGGGAAUUUUGGACAAUGGGCGAAAGCCUGAUCCAGCAAUGCCGCGUGAGUGAAGAAGGCCUUCGGGUUGUAAAGCUCUUUUGUCAGGGAAGAAACGGUGAGAGCUAAUAUCUCUUGCUAAUGACGGUACCUGAAGAAUAAGCACCGGCUAACUACGU
rnacentral:rRNA from 1 species